rnacentral:tRNA from 1 species
CGCUUUAGCUCAGUUGGUAGAGCGACGCAUUCGUAAUGCGUAGGUCGCGGGUUCGAGCCCCGUUUGCG